rnacentral:tRNA from 1 species
AGAGAGGUGGCUCAGAGGUAGAGCAAAUGCCUUUCAUGCAUGAGGCUAUGGGUCCCAUCCCUA